ACCUUCGGGCCUCUUGCCAUCAGAUGUGCCCAGAUGGGAUUAGCUAGUAGGUGGGGUAACGGCUCACCUAGGCGACGAUCCCUAGCUGGUCUGAGAGGAUGACCAGCCACACUGGAACUGAGACACGGUCCAGACUCCUACGGGAGGCAGCAGUGGGGAAUAUUGCACAAUGGGCGCAAGCCUGAUGCAGCCAUGCCGCGUGUAUGAAGAAGGCCUUCGGGUUGUAAAG
rnacentral:rRNA from 2 species